rnacentral:rRNA from 3 species
ACGGGAGGCAGCAGUGGGGAAUAUUGCACAAUGGGCGAAAGCCUGAUGCAGCGACGCCGCGUGAGCGAAGAAGUAUUUCGGUAUGUAAAGCUCUAUCAGCAGGGAAGAAAAUGACGGUACCUGACUAAGAAGCACCGGCUAAAUACGUGCCAGCAGCCGCGGUAAUACGUAUGGUGCAAGCGUUAUCCGGAUUUACUGGGUGUAAAGGGAGCGUAGACGGCUUAGUAAGUCUGAAGUGAAAGCCCGGGGCUCAACCCCGGGACUGCUUUGGAAACUAUUGAGCUAGAGUGUCGGAGGGGCAAGUGGAAUUCCCAGUGUAGCGGUGAAAUGCGUAGAUAUUGGGAGGAACACCAGUGGCGAAGGCGGCUUGCUGGACGAUGACUGACGUUGAGGCUCGAAAGCGUGGGGAGCAAACAGGAUUAGAUACCCUGGUA